UACGUAGGUGGCGAGCGUUAUCCGGAUUUACUGGGUGUAAAGGGUGUGUAGGCGGCCAUGCAAGUCAGAUGUGAAACCUCCGGGCUCAACUCGGAGCUUGCAUUUGAGACUACGUGGCUUGAGAGUCGGAGGGGUAAUCGGAAUUCCCGGUGUAGAGGUGAAAUUCGUAGAUAUCGGGAGGAACACCAGUGGCGAAGGCGGAUUACUGGACGACCACUGACGCUGAGACACGAAAGCGUGGGGAG
rnacentral:rRNA from 1 species